rnacentral:snRNA from 1 species
GUGCUUAUUUCAGCAGCACAUAUACUAAAAUUGGAACUAUACAGAGAAGAUUAGCAUGGCCCCUGUGCAAGGAUGACAUGCAAAAAAAAAAAAAAAAAGACAGCCAG